UUACGCUGUUAUCCCUAAGGUAAUUUAUUUUAAAAUACUAAAUUUUAGGUUUAUAUAUUCAUUAAUUAAUGUUUUUAUAUUUAAAAGUUUAUUUAAUUUUAAAAUUACCCCAAUUAAAUAUUAAAAAUUAUUUAAAUUAUUAUUAUUAUUUAAUUUAUUAAUUAAAUUUAAUAAAAUUCUAAAGGGUCUUCUCGUCUUUUAAUAAAAUUUAAGAAUUUUGACUUAAAUUUUAAUUUAAAUAUUUAUUUAAUUUAUAUAGUUUAUACCUCAUUAAAUCUUUCAUUCUAGUUUCCAAUUAAGAAACUAAUUAUUAUGCUACCUUAGUACAGUUACUGAUACUGCAGCCAUUGAAUACUAUCAUUGGGCAGAUGUUACUAAAAAUUAUUAUCAAUAAGACAUGUUUUUGUUAAACAGGCG
rnacentral:rRNA from 1 species